UGAUAUAUCUGCAGGUCAUAAACCAAAACUGCAGGUUUAACACUUAGGCACUGAUUGGAUGCAAUUUUCCUGUAGCUGCUUAUGUAACCUGCACACAAUUACUUACACUUAAAGUAUGUGGCUUGGAAUGGAAUAAUAUGUUAAGGAACAAGGGAGAGAUAGCGCCCAGGUUCUUUGCUGCAGCAAGCAUGAAGCUCAUAGUGGACAAAGUGGUGAGGAGGAGAGAUGGUGUCUACACAGAAAUGGAGGAAGAUGCCACAAAGACAACCGAUGUGCAGAAUUCGGGAGAUCACAGGCAGAAGCCUUAGCCUUUGAACAUGACGCAAUACUGCAAGAAAUUUGAUACCUUGAUAAAUGGUCCUUGUGAUUUUGGGUCUGUCUUCACUUUGCAGUUGUAGCAUGUGGCUUUGCCUGUCUUAGUUUCUGCUUCACGAUGCACCUGAACAAGUUGAAGGUUAAUGGAAAUGCAUCUUAAAUAUCUGAGUCUGUAUAUAACUUUCUUCUCAGACAUCUUGGUCCGAGUGUUUGCAGAUAGACAUUAACUAAUGAUCAAUUUGGUCAUAUUCGACAUUUGUGAUAACUUGUGGGCUGGUGAGGAUUGAUUUUCAGUGCACUCUUCCCAUUUGGGUCACAACAAAGUCGAAAGGAGAACAAUGAUUUGUAAGAAUUGUGAUGACAGCACAGAAUGGAAAUGAAGUGCCAAAUGGACACUUGGACUUCCUGUAACAUUAUGAGCUUCACAGACAUGUGUAAAAUUACAGCAGAUGCCGAUCCAAAAAUUAAACCCUCAAAGGUAAAGUGAAGGGUCUGUGAUGGAACAAUGUGCACAGCUUAGUCCGAGAGCUCAAUGUUGUGGCGAGGCUGUAGAACUGGAAUUUCAGACAUUAGACACAAUGCUAAAGCCACUCGUCUGAGCAGAAUCAAGUUGAAAGCUCAAAUUAGUAGCCCUAAAUUUUCAGAACAGAUUUGUUUUGUAGGCCACAUUGACUGACAGAUAGAGAAGUGAACAGAAUGAGGCAGUUACUUCGACUGCAGGAAUGCAAAGGAAAUGCAGCCUUGUCCGACACAGCUAACGCAAAUAAAUGGAAGAGGUUUCUUAUGGAACAGCAUAAAUCAGCAGAGUUGCAAAGAUGAGUUUGAAACUGAACCAGAGAUCACAUCAUUCCAACCAGCAGAAGUUAGAGGAAAAGCCAACAACAUGCAGAUUGAUCCCUCGCUUACUUUCCCAGUACCUACAUCUUAUGAAGAAGUCUUCAGGGUGUGGGCGCCAAAGAGAAGACCAGUUAUAACCGCUUAUCCCCCUGGUUGUGCUUAAGCAGAGAUAGUGAGCCUUCUUCCUGAACUGCUGCAGUCUGUGUACAUGCUGUGCUGUAGGAAGCCAGGAUAUUGAGUCCAAUGUCCAGGAAGUCACCUUCUUGAUUCCUCUGCCCAAAGGCAGGUCCAAUUCACAGUGCUGCAAUCUCUACCAUGGAUAGGGCAAACAGAUAAUUCCUGAAACUUCUCUUGCUGAUAAAGGGAUCAAACCUCAUGCUACUGCUGCCAGUCAGAUACACACAGGCCAUCCAGUCAACUGAAACAACGCCAAGAAGAGUGAGGUGCUGUUGUAACAACAUUUUCACAUGUAUGCUGGAGCUAUUGCAUAGUAAUGUUAGAGGCUGUAACUCCUGUUGAAGGUAUGGUUGGCUAGAAAUCUCUCCUGCUGUUACUGUCUGCCAUUGGCAUAUGUUGGAACGAUGUACAAGUUGAUACUCAGUCUAUUUGACCACAUUAAGCCAUUGUGUCCUGGAUCAGGAUUUGAACUCAGACCUUCUAGCACACAGCCAAUGACCCUACCACCAUGAGACCUUCCAACAAGAAGUAACGGUAGUUUAAAUUAGGAUGUGGUGGGACUGGGAGGCAGAAGAUUUGAUGGUUCUGUCAAAGAAUCAAUUAUUAUUACAUGUCUAAAAUCGCCAUCUUUGAACUGCAAACACCUUUGAAACUUUGUGAAAAUUUAUUCUAACUCCUUACUUUCAUAAACGCUACACUGUAAUUCACCCAUGGAAUUAAGUUAAUGAAUCUGCAGAUAUGCCGUUCAUAAUCUCAAAUUCAGAGCCAGUUUAUCCUAUACCUCAUUGCACUCAUGAUAUAAUCAUAUCCUGUCCAAGCCAACCAUUCUUCUAUUUUGUUUGUUUUUUUAACUUAACUCUGUUUGACUUCCAGCCACAACAUAGCACUCAUUAAAGCGAGGAGAAAUCAGGAUCAACUUUCAGUAGUGUCAAAUAUACAAUGAUGACUCAUUAUAUUAAUAUUAGAUUUCCUUAAAACAUUUGCUGAUCUCCUAAAUUUUAUUACAUGUAUUGCUGUUAGAAAUCCAUAGGCUAGGUUUUACAAGGAACUAUGGUUCCCACAUCACCUGGAUGGAAGUGGUUGGAAUACAGUCCCCCUCAGGGAAAGAACAGUUGCUCCAAUUGACUGUUAAUUGGCUGGAGAUGGGCUUGUCGCCUCUCAGGAAGGUGAAGUUCUGCCUCAGUGAGCUUCCAGCCAACCAGCUGGCCUGCAUCUCUGUAGUCCCAGCAUGCCAAGUGGGACUAAUGGCUAAAACUGGGACUACAGGCAGUUCCAAAUAGAAAUCAUCACUGCAGCCAGACAGCAAGAUAAUGUGAGGAGGAACAUUCUGGAAUCAGGGUGAGAUGUUUGAGAUCAGUCAAGUGCUGGGCUCGGCAGGUUGGGUUGGUAAAAUGGGAAGUGUGAUCUUGGGAUUGGUAAAGCCCUGAUGGAACAGGGUAGAGUGGGUGGCACAAUGGCUCAGUGCUUUGCACUGCUGUCUCAUAGCGGCAGGGACCGGGGUUCAAUUGCAGCCAUUCAUGGCUGCCUGUUUGGAGU